rnacentral:lncRNA from 1 species
AGUUCUCUCAGGUCCUGAUUCUGAUGGAUACUUUUACCCCCAAUCUUUGGAAUUCAGCUAACUUACCAGCUCUGUAGGGAAAAUACGGCGAAGCCAUCAUAGAGAAGUCCCAAGAUGCCAAUUAGGAGAAAAUAAAGACAGGGACUCCUCCAUCCCAGGAAGAAGGCAGUAGGAGGCAAUUCUAUUCAUGAAUGAAUGAAUUCAACGGCCAUUUAUUGAGUUUUCCCUGUUAUAUCCUGGGAACUGUGCUAGCCACUGGAGAUACAAUAAUGAACAGGAGAGAAUCUAGGUCUCAAGGUCUUACGUCCCAGUAAGGGAAACAGACAACUAAACAGGAUGAGGAAAGGUUAAACAAGACCUGAUGUUUUCCUGCUCACUGGAGUUUGCUGGGGUUAUUGCGCUGCCUUUCUGUUUACUGGACUGAUAAAGAAAAUAAAAUUGAGCAAUUGCUUCUGCCUCAGGAAAAG